rnacentral:rRNA from 1 species
UACAGAGACUGCAAGCGUUAUUCGGAUUCACUGGGCGUAAAGGGUGCGCAGGCGGCCAAGUGUGUGAGGCGUGAAAGCCCGGGGCUUAACCCCGGAAUUGCACCUCAAACUACGAUGGCUAGAGCAUUGGAGAGGGUAGCAGAAUUCAUGGUGUAGCAGUGAAAUGCGUAGAUAUCAUGAGGAAUACCAGAGGCGAAGGCGGCUACCUGGACAAUUGCUGACGCUCAGGCACGAAAGCGUGGGGAGCAAAAGGG